rnacentral:rRNA from 1 species
AACGAACGCUGGCGGCAUGCCUAACACAUGCAAGUCGGACGAGACCUUCGGGUCUAGUGGCGCACGGGUGCGUAACGCGUGGGAAUCUACCCUCAGGUUCGGAAUAACUCAGAGAAAUUUGAGCUAAUACCGGAUGAUGACGUAAGUCCAAAGAUUUAUCGCCUGAGGAUGAGCCCGCUUAGGAUUAGGUAGUUGGUGAGGUAAAGGCUCACCAAGCCGACGAUCCUUAGCUGGUCUGAGAGGAUGAUCAGCCACACUGGGACUGAGACACGGCCCAGACUCCUACGGGAGGCAGCAGUGGGGAAUAUUGGACAAUGGGCGAAAGCCUGAUCCAGCAAUGCCGCGUGAGUGAUGAAGGCCUUAGGGUUGUAAAGCUCUUUUACCCGGGAUGAUAAUGACAGUACCGGGAGAAUAAGCUCCGGCUAACUCCGUG